rnacentral:rRNA from 1 species
GACAGAGGUGCCAAGCGUUAGGCGGAAUCACUGGGCUUAAAGCGUGUGUAGGCGGAUGCCUAAGUACCUUGUGAAAUCCCACGGCUCAACCGUGGAACUGCUUGGUAUACUGGGGUGUCUUGAGCCAUCUAGGGGCUACCGGAACAAAUGGUGGAGCGGUGAAAUGCGUAGAUAUCAUUUGGAACGCCAAUGGUGAAAACAGGUAGCUGGGGAUGUGCUGACGCUGAGACACGAAAGCCAGGGGAGCAAACGGG